ACCAUGCAAUUUAGUUAUACAAAGGUGUUAUUGUCUACUAUUCUAAAAUGGCGUAUUUCAAUAUAUCUGCAUACUGGGGUCCCUAAACAAUCUUGGAAUUACAUAAUUUGGGUAUGACUCAAAAGCAGAGACUCUUGUGUAUCCAAUGAGCCCAACUGUAUUCAUGUGUGAUGAUGUUAGUCCCCAUAGGAGACAUUUCAUUGUAGUGAGACCAUGUUUGGAAACUUGACCUCACUGUAUAAAAUGACCUGUG